GACGAACGCUGGCGGCGUGCUUAACACAUGCAAGUCGAACGGAAAGGCCUCUUUCGGGGGGUACUCGAGUGGCGAACGGGUGAGUAACACGUGAGUAACCUGCCCUUGACUUUGGGAUAACUUCAGGAAGCUGGGGCUAAUACCGGAUAGGAGCUCCUGCUGCAUGGUGGGGGUUGGAAAGUUUCGGCGGUUGGGGAUGGACUCGCGGCUUAUCAGCUUGUUGGUGGGGUAGUGGCUUACCAAGGCUUUGACGGGUAGCCGGCCUGAGAGGGUGACCGGCCACAUUGGGACUGAGAUACGGCCCAGACUCCUACGGGAGGCAGCAGUGGGGAAUAUUGCACAAGGGGUGGAAGCCUGAUGCAGCAACGCCGUGUGCGGGAUGACGGCCUUCGGGUUGUAAACCGCUUUCGCUCAUGACGAAGCUUUGUGUGACGGUAGUGGGUAAAGAAGCACCGGCUAACUACGUG
rnacentral:rRNA from 1 species